rnacentral:lncRNA from 10 species
CUGCUGGCCUCUCCUGGUGCUCCAGCCUGGCCACGCCUGCUUGCAGGGCAGCCGCAGGUGCCCUGGGGGUCCUCACCAUAGCUUCUGCACUGGUGGACCGUGCCUGACUGGCGGAGAGCUCCAGCAGGGUGUCCCCUGUGGCCACGCACCAGCCGUCACGCUCCCUCUCCACACUGCAGCUUCCUUCUGCCUCACGGCAACUCCCCACUUCACACUGCUAGUACGUGUCUGCCAGGUGUCUGCCAGGUGAGUUCUGCUUCUGUUGCCCUGCCAGCACACAGGAGUUCAAUCCACCUCCGAUAGCCCCACUGACUGCCAUUACAGACCGAGCCUUGUCGGGUACAAAGCCAGCCAGCCCCAUUCCUGCCCGCAACCCGCUCUUGCACUAACACUGUACAGAGAACAGCAGCAGAUCAGCCUCCACCCUAAGUGACUACUCCUGCUUACAGGGCACAGAGAAAGCACCCAGAUCUGGACUCGCCAGCGCCCCGCCUUGGAGCCAACACCACCUCAAGUGCGACAUUGCACAUAGCCGCAGGCAUGCUCCCUCCCGCACCUCGCGGCACCCACAACUGAGUUGCCUCCACCACUGAGGUGAAUGCCCACAGGGAGGCAGGCAUCCUGGCAGGCUAGCAUUCUGUUGUGCUGCUGCAACUGCUGCUGCUGGCACGUGUGAAUGAGGACAGAUCCUGCUGUCACUGCUUUAUUAAAUGCUUCGGCUGACACCAUGCAUCAGAGUGGUCCAGGGGCACCUGGGCCCCCUGCAGCACUGUUCCCCGCAGCACCGUGGAUUCCUAACCUCGAGCAGCCAGAGAAAAAAGUCGGCAUCC